GAUCAUGGCUCAGGAUGAACGCUAGCUACAGGCUUAACACAUGCAAGUCGAGGGGAAACGAUAGAGAAAGCUUGCUUUUUCUAGGCGUCGACCGGCGCACGGGUGAGUAACGCGUAUCCAACCUGCCCACCACUUGGGGAUAACCUUGCGAAAGUAAGACUAAUACCCAAUGACGUCUCUAGAAGACAUCUGAAAGAGCUUAAAGAUUUAUCGGUGAUGGAUGGGGAUGCGUCUGAUUAGCUUGUUGGCGGGGUAACGGCCCACCAAGGCGACGAUCAGUAGGGGUUCUGAGAGGAAGGUCCCCCACAUUGGAACUGAGACACGGUCCAAACUCCUACGGGAGGCAGCAGUGAGGAAUAUUGGUCAAUGGACGAGAGUCUGAACCAGCCAAGUAGCGUGCAGGAUGACGGCCCUAUGGGUUGUAAACUGCUUUUAUAAGGGAAUAAAGUGAGUCUCGUGAGACUUUUUGCAUGUACCUUAUGAAUAAGGACCGGCUAAUUCCGUG
rnacentral:rRNA from 1 species